rnacentral:rRNA from 1 species
GAUGAACGCUGGCGGCGUGCCUAAUACAUGCAAGUCGAGCGAACAGACGAGGAGCUUGCUCCUCUGACGUUAGCGGCGGACGGGUGAGUAACACGUGGAUAACCUACCUAUAAGACUGGGAUAACUUCGGGAAACCGGAGCUAAUACCGGAUAAUAUAUUGAACCGCAUGGUUCAAUAGUGAAAGACGGUUUUGCUGUCACUUAUAGAUGGAUCCGCGCCGCAUUAGCUAGUUGGUAAGGUAACGGCUUACCAAGGCAACGAUGCGUAGCCGACCUGAGAGGGUGAUCGGCCACACUGGAACUGAGACACGGUCCAGACUCCUACGGGAGGCAGCAGUAGGGAAUCUUCCGCGAUGGGCGAAAGCUUGACGGAGCAACGCCGCGUGAGUGAUGAAGGUCUUCGGAUCGUAAAACUCUGUUAUUAGGGAAGAACAAAUGUGUAAGUAACUAUGCACGUCUUGACGGUACCUAAUCAGAAAGCCACGGCUAACUACGUG